rnacentral:lncRNA from 1 species
GCAGAAUGCCUAUUGUGGGACCUUGUGAUCGUGGUGUUCUCCAGCAGGGGGUGUGUGUGCCCAGCUCAUGGAGCAAGUCUACAGCAGAGUUAACUCCUCAGAAAAAUGCAGGGUUCAAGUUGCUGGACAAACAUCCCAGCUUCCUUGACCAUCAAAGGGACAGUUCUGAGAUGAGAAAACUGGGAUGCAGAGACAUGAAAUAACUUGGCCCAGAGCACCAGGUAGAUGGUAGCAGAGCUGGGGCUCCAAUGCAGGCCUGUCUAACUCCAAAUCACAUCCCUAGCUACUGCGUCACACAAGAUCCCUGAUCAGUUAGUGCCACUGCAAGACUGGUCUCACAGUAAUAUUCUGGGUGGAUUAGAGGAAAGGGCAUCCCGGACCACAGACAAAUUCAGAGACUUCCACACUAAGCCAGGCUAGAAGACCUGAGAAACAUCAUUGGCUAUUUCAUGAAAGUGUUCAGGGAAGAGAGGAAUACGAGAUUGGAAAGGCAAGAGUGUCUGGAUCUGGUAAAACACAGAUGUGGGAAGGAAGGAAAAGCAUCUGACAGGAUGUAACUCUUUUAAGAUGUUUUCUUCUUUUAUAGAGGAAGCUAGUGCAUUAUUCCCAGGUGGGAAACUGUCGCCCUCCUGUGAUCCCCAGGAAUUACUGGGGAUUUUUCUAGAUCGAUGUGAGGACCGGCUUUACCAGAUGACUUGAUGUUCUUCUGCUUGGUCUUGCAACUGCACUGAAAGUGUAUCCUCAAUAAAGUGAGAAAAGAGAUAGGUCAUUUGGGACUCAGACCACUUUCUUCAGAUAUAGAAACUCUCUGGGGUUGGGGACACCAUCUGGACACUGACUCCAAGAGCCCCUUCAGUUCCUAUCACGUGUUGAACAGAGAUCCAGGGUGGUACAAUGUCUGUUGCAAAAUGACUCUGAUAAUAGAAGUACAAGUUUGCCCACCACCACUCAUAAAUCUUGAAUUCUUAGGCUUUGGGGAGCAGCCCAGGAUGCUAUAUUCAAGGGACACCACAAUCUGAGGCUGACUGAGAUUCACAUUGAUACCUAAAUUAGAUCCAAAGAAGCCAGCAGGUGUGAAGUGUGGUCCUGACUCUGACAUAAAUUAGCUGGGAAUCCUGAAGCAGACUCUUAACCUCUCAUGGCUUUGGCUUUCUCAUUUUUGAAAUGAAUUAAAAUAAAUUUGGAUUAAAUCAUCUGAUCUCAAAGGUCUCUACCAAAUACCAGCCCCUAUGGGUUCUUCAGGGAUUAUGCAAGUAAAGGAGUCUCUCAAAUAGUGAUUAAUUGAAAUAACCACAGGAUUUAUAGCAAGAACUGUGCUAUUUGUUGUUCAACCAAGGGACAACUGUGCAUCAGACACUGGAGAAGAAACCCAUCUCUGCGACAGCAUCCCAUAUUUCACUCAGAAAUUAAAAUUAAAGCUCUCUUGGUAAGACAAAUCCUGGCAUAAGAUAGCACUCAGAAGUCAUGUCAUGGCACCAGCCCAGGGAGCCUCCAUCACUGGCUCCUGGAGGCAGUAUCUUACACACUGAAUGGGGCAUGGAAUAGUGAGAAAUGGAUGAUGAACACUUGGUUAUGAGUAGCAAUAUAUAUACACAUUCUGCUAAAAUAGUCCAGACCCUAAUAGGGUUCUGUAAAGGUUUUCAUUCAUUUGAAAUUUUACCUGGCAUUAAGUUUAUAGCCCUCUACAGAAUUCAAAAUAAUGUGUCAGUACCCCCAAAAGCCUCCAUAGCAAGGCUUGCUGAGAUGUUGGCAGCAUAAUCCAGGGAAGGAGCUGGACCUGCAGAAGAGCUCCACAGAGGAACUGACCACCUGUUGGGCCAUUCUUGUUGGGGCUGGAAGAUCAGCUCGUCAAUGCAAGUGCAAAAAUGACCUGAACUAGUGGCAAAUUGAGUAGUUGUGGGAAGCUGCACAACUUCACAAGGACCUAUCCAAUGAGUAGGAUAACGAUAUAGUUUUCUAUGGGAAAUAUGCUAGCGCAGGUGGAUGACUGUUACCCCUAGAGAGUAGAUGUCUGUUUCAGAACAGGAUCCUAGCCAGCAGUGAGAAAUAAGGACUCUGGGAAGGGACCUGACAGAACUUCUGUAGGCAAGAUGUAAAGAAUCCUGUGAUGUAUAAAAGGUGUGAGGAAAGGACUCCAAUCCCAACAGUGUAAUUGGUGUAAAAGCCAAGACUCUAAGCUUAACAAACAGAGCAAAUGGAUUGUGACUAAGAUAAAACCUAUCUCCUAAAUUAGGCUCACAGCAAGAAGAUAAUUGUUGCUAAUCCUACUGAUAUCUUACCAGCCUCAAUGUGUUCAGUGGCAUGGACCCGAAAAAAAUAAAGAUUGAAAAAUCAGAUGAUUGCCCACUCUCCAAUCCACUCCACCUUAAGUAGGGAAAUCUCAGCUGGCAUGCCAUGGCGUUAACUCUCAAACUCUACAGUAUCUUUAUAUCUAUGGGUGUAAUAUCUCAGUGUGGGGUAUGGACCUAAGAGGGCUAGACUAACUGUAAAAUAGAAGCCCAUUAUAGUUCAGUAUGUUUUCAUAUGAGAUUUAAUAUGAGAUUGAAUAACUUCCUCAUUAAUUUCUUCAUCAUAUAUUAAUUUCUUCUUCAUAUAUAUUUUUGAUCAUCUCUUGUCUACUAAGAGCUUUGCUGGAUACCUUAUCAUAACCAUACAGAUGGAAAAAGCUUAUGAAAAUAGUAGCUACUAUGUAUUGAGUGCACAUUAUAGGAUAGACUUUGUGCUAAGUGGUUUGCUUUGUCUUUUUCAAGGCUCAUAUCAAAACCUUAAAAGAGAAAACAUGAUUCGCAUUUUAUAUGUGAGAAAACUGAGACCCAGUUUGUGUAAAUAAUUUUCUUGACAUCACGAAGAUAAUAAGCAACAGAGUGGCAUACGAACACUAACCAUUUGACCACAUGGUACUCUAUAAGAGUAGGGUACUCUUGACUACAUGGUGCCUUACUUUGCUACCUUAUGUUAAUUAUCUGAAAUGGUACAUAUGCAUGAGGAAUCCAUCAAAUAUCGACACUUAUUUCCUCAAAAAGAAGUAAAGUCUAUACAUCAGAUAUUUGGGGAUUGAUUAUUUUAAUAAACAGCCCACUGCCAAAGAAGAGAAGGAAUUCUGUGGGAAAAAUAAAAGCAGAACCUCUCAAACAAAAUUCUACCCUAGGACUUUGAUUGGGGAAAACCAAUGUGAUUUUAGUGAAAUGGACAAUAAGGGUUGUAAAAAGGAUUUGAUGUGAGAUUUAAGUGGAAAAGAAACAGUGCAUUCUGAAUCUGUGCUUAAAUUCAAAGAACAAAUUGUCAGUCAGAGUCCAAUUCCAAAAACAUGUGAAGAAAGCUGAAAUGCCAUCUCAACAAAUCUACAGAAACUGACAUGUCCUUUUGAGAACAAUCAUCACAGUACAAACCCCAGAGGAUACAAGAACCUAGAAAUGUAAAUCUUAAUGUCACAGGGACAUUUAUACUCUGCAAAAGUCAUCUCUAAAAAACUGCCCCCAAAAUGACAGAGAGAUACUUGGAAAAGUGAAGGUCACACUUCAUCUCUCCAUCCUGGAUAUUUUCAAGACACAGGAGGCUAAAAGUUGAGCCGGUCACAAGAACUUCAAGAAAAGGAUUAGAGUUUUUUCCUGAUCUACUUAUCCUUAAAGCUACACAGCUCAGGGUGCUCAAGGUCAAAGGAAGACACCCAGGAACUUGCCGAAAGAAAAGCACUGGGCUGAUAAAAAUGUCUUUCUGGUCCAGUGUGCUCCAAAGACCAGUGGUUGGGAACCACUGAUAGACAGAAAUAAGGGCAAGAAUGGAAGAACAUGAUUUAGGCUCAGACUGCAGUAUCUACACUUUAACAUACACAGGAUGUUGUACAAAUUAGUCAUCUCUGUGCUUAGAUCUCCAGUCGUUAAAAUGAUUUGAUGAUGUGAAGGCUGCCAAACUCACAAAAUCCCCAGGAAAACCAAAUGAAAUAGAUUAUGUAAAAACAUGCUCUAAAAUAAUGGGUUUUGUUUCAUUUGACUAUGCAGUAUAAUCAUUUUGACGUGUUGUUAAAUUCAAUUUGCUAAUAUUUUAUUGAUGAGUUUUGCCUCAAUAUUCAUCAGAGAUAUUGGUCUGUAGUUUUCUUUUCGUGUGUGUGGUGUCUAUCUGGCUUAAGUAUCAAGGUGGUGCUGGCCUUAUAAAAUAUGUUAGGAAAUACUCCCUCUAGCUCCUUUAUUUGGAAGAGUUCAGAAGUAUUAGUAUUCCUUUUUGGAAGUUUCGUUGAAUUCAGUUGCAAAGCCAUCUGGUCCUGGGUUUUUCUUUGUGGGGGAUUUUUAAUUACAACUUCAAUCUCUUUAUUUGUCAUAAGUCUGUUCAGGCUUUCUAUCUCUUCCGAUUUAACCUUGGUAGGUUGUAUUUUUCUAAGAAUUCAUCCGUUUCCUCUAGGUUAUUAAAUUUGACAGCAUAUAAUUGUUCAUACUACAGAUACUCCUGAACUUAUGAUGGGUGUUAUAUCCCCAGAAAAAAAAAUCUAAGUCCAAAAUAUAUUGUUGAAACGUACUUAAUGCCCCCAAUAAACCUAUCAUAAAGUCAAAAUAUCAUAGGUCAAACCAUCGUAAGUCUGUAGUCCCUUAUGAUCAUUUUUAUUUCUGAGACUAAUUUAACAUAUGCAAAUCAAUCACUGUGAUAUAUCACACUUAACAGCCUGAAAGACAAAACCACACAAUGCUAUCAACUGAUACAGAAAAGCAUUCAACAAAGUUCAACAUCCUUACUUGAUAAAUACUCUGAACAGUUUAGGUAUAGAAGGACAGUUCCUCAACCUACUAAAGCCCAUUUAUUAAAAAACCUACAGCUAAUAUAAUCAAUGGGCAGAAACAAAAAGCUUUUCCUCUAAGAUCUGAUAUCUAUCUCUAAGGCAAGAAUACCUACUCUCACCACUUUUAUUCAACAUAAUACUAUAAGUACCAUCAAGAGCAAUUAGACAAAAAAAAGAAAUAAAAGGUAUCAAAUCAGAAAGAAGAAAAAUUAUCUCUGCAAAUGACAUGACUCUGUAUGUAAAACAUACCAAAGAUUCCACCAAAUUAACUGUUAGAUCUAAUAAAUAAAAUCAUUAAAGUUGCAGGAUAUAAAACCAACAUACAAACAUCUAUGGCAUUUCUAUGCACAAAUAAUGACCUAGCCAGAAAAAGAAAUCAAGAAAAUAAUCUCAUUUUGAUAGCAUAAAAAAAGAAAAAUAUUUAGGAAUAAAUUUAACCAAUGAGAUAAAAUACCCAUAUACUAAAACUAUAAAACAUUGGUGGAUGAAAUUCAUGAGGACACAAAUACAAGGAAAGAUUUUAUGCACAUGAAUCUGGAGAGUUAAUAUUGUUAAAUCGUCCAUUAAUCUAAAGCAAUAUAUAGAUUAGUGCAUUCA